GGGGUUGUGGUCUAGUGGUAUGACAUCUUCUUAGCAUUGCUCUCAUAGCAUUACUGAGUGGAGAAGGUUCUGGGUUCGAUUCCCAGCUACUCCA
rnacentral:tRNA from 1 species